rnacentral:rRNA from 1 species
AGGGUUUGAUUAUGGCUCAGGAUGAACGCUAGCUACAGGCUUAACACAUGCAAGUCGAGGGGCAUCAUGCUUAUAGCAAUAUAAGUGAUGGCGACCGGCGCACGGGUGAGUAACACGUAUCCAACCUGCCGAUAACUCGGGGAUAGCCUUUCGAAAGAAAGAUUAAUACCCGAUGGCAUAAUAGAACCGCAUGGUUUGAUUAUUAAAGAAUUUCGGUUAUCGAUGGGGAUGCGUUCCAUUAGGCAGUUGGUGGGGUAACGGCCCACCAAACCUUCGAUGGAUAGGGGUUCUGAGAGGAAGGUCCCCCACAUUGGAACUGAGACACGGUCCAA